GAUGAACGCUGGCGGCGUGCCUAAUACAUGCAAGUCGAGCGAACCACUUCGGUGGUGAGCGGCGAACGGGUGAGUAACACGUAGGUUAUCUGCCCAUCAGACGGGGACAACGAUUGGAAACGAUCGCUAAUACCGGAUAAGACGAAAGUUUAAAGGUGCUUCGGCACCACUGAUGGAUGAGCCUGCGGCGCAUUAGCUAGUUGGUCGGGUAAAGGCCUACCAAGGCGACGAUGCGUAGCCGACCUGAGAGGGUGAACGGCCACACUGGGACUGAGACACGGCCCAGACUCCUACGGGAGGCAGCAGUAGGGAAUCUUCGGCAAUGGGCGAAAGCCUGACCGAGCAACGCCGCGUGAAUGAUGAAGGCCUUCGGGUUGUAAAAUUCUGUUAUAAGGGAAGAAUGGCUCUAGUAGGAAAUGGCUAGAGCGUGACGGUACCUUAUGAGAAAGCCACGGCUAACUACGUGCCAGCAGCCGCCGUAA
rnacentral:rRNA from 1 species